AUUGAACGCUGGCGGCAUGCUUUACACAUGCAAGUCGAACGGCAGCACGGGCUUCGGCCUGGUGGCGAGUGGCGAACGGGUGAGUAAUAUAUCGGAACGUACCCAGAAGUGGGGGAUAACGUAGCGAAAGUUACGCUAAUACCGCAUACGAUCUAUGGAUGAAAGCAGGGGACCGCAAGGCCUUGUGCUCCUGGAGCGGCCGAUAUCUGAUUAGCUAGUUGGUGAGGUAAAGGCUCACCAAGGCGACGAUCAGUAGCUGGUCUGAGAGGACGACCAGCCACACUGGAACUGAGACACGGUCCAGACUCCUACGGGAGGCAGCAGUGGGGAAUUUUGGACAAUGGGCGCAAGCCUGAUCCAGCAAUGCCACGUGAGUGAAGAAGGCCUUCGGGUUGUAAAGCUCUUUUGUCAGGGAAGAAACGGUAGAGGCUAAUAUCCUUUGCUAAUGACGGUACCUGAAGAAUAAGCACCGGCUAACUACGUG
rnacentral:rRNA from 1 species